GUCUACGGUCAUACCAUCCUGAACACACCACAUGUCAUCUGAUCUCAGAAGCUAAGCAGGGUCGGGCCUGGUUAGUACUUGGAUGGGAGAAAUUACAUUAGACA
rnacentral:rRNA from 1 species